ACGUCAGCGCCUGCACAGUGGGAAGGGGUCCCCCCUGGCAAGUUGCUGCCAAGUUUCAACAGCGCUUAGAGGGGAAGCGGCAGAAGCAAUUCGGCUUCUCGAUGGGCUUGCCCCGGCGUGCACUUGCACGAAGCAUUGGCAGGAAGGAAGCUUACAAAUUCAUCUGGGGCCACCAGCUUCCGGGGAUCCGUGACGGGAUUUCACCAUGUUGGCUGGUGUCGAACUCCUGACCUCAAGUGAUCCACCCACCUCGGCCUCCUAAAGUGCUGGGAUUACAGAAUUGAAGGUCCCUGAUAAGACAUCUUUGAGGUCAGGCAUAAAUCAUCACUUCACAUCUUCACGGCAAUGCAACGAACACAAGUAUCUGUCUCCUUGGGUCUGUCUAACAAGGAGCAAAGCCUGGCCUCCCACCAGCAUCCAGGCAAUAGUGGAUUCCCUCUCCACAGAUGUCAAAAAAGAAACAGAUGCUCCCGCAGGUGAAAUGAGCUCUGGUCCACAAUGCAACACAGGCUGUGCAGAAAAUCAAAGAGGAACCAACCCAGAAGUAUCCCCCAGGACAAAUCAUUAAGGGGGAAAAGGUAAGACGCCUGUUCUCACUUUGCCUUCUGCCAUGUUUAUAAGUUUCCUGAUGUCUCCUCUGAGCCUCCAGAAGGAACCAAGCCUACUGAUACCUUGAUCUCAGCUGUUGGCCUCCAGAAGUUCGAGAGAACAGACGUCUGCUGUUUCAAGCCACGCAGUUGUUGGUAUUUUUCUACAACAGCAUCUGAAUCCUAAUGCAUGCUCUCUAACUGUGGGAUCGAUUUUGGGGUGCUGAGAUGUGGGCUGUUUCUCCUAUGACCUUCCUUGUGUUUUUAGUGCUCUUGGAAGAAUGAGAGAAUUAAGCAUAGAAUACCCACAGAGAGGAAUCUCUCUUUUUUUUUUCCCUUUGAGACACAGUCUUGCUCUGUCGCCAGGCUGGGAGUUCAGUGGCGCAAUCUCGGCUCACUGCAACAUCCGUCUCUCAAAUUCAAGCAAUUCUCCUGUCUCAGCCUCCCAAGUAGCAGGGACUACAGGCGCAUGCCACCACAGCCGGCUGAUUUUUUUUUUUUUUUUUUAGUAGACACGGGUUUCACCAUGUUGUCUAGGAUGGUCUCGAUCUCCUGACCUUGUGAUCUACCCACCUCAGACUCCCAAAGUGCUGGGAUUGAGGAAUCUUUCAACCCCUUGCUACCUUUCAAAUUGCAUAGGAACAUUGAAAAGGUGACAAAAUGUGGAGGCUGAAAGAAAACAAGCAGUGUUCAUCAUUCCCAAAGUGGCCUGGUUUGAGGAAAUUAAUUAUUUGGCAUCUCUGAACAAGUGGUGUUUUGGACUCCUAAACUUAAAGAUGAAUACGUAUUGUUUCCUAUCCGUCAUUCAUCUUCCUUCUCCUCACCCGACCCAGAACUCCAAGACGGCUAAUCUCUUCUGCAAUAUCGUAAUGGCCUUGAAGCAAUCUAACAUCUGUGUUUUUCCUUUCCUCAUCUAUGAAAUUACUUACAAAUAACCAAAUUAAACAGGAUCUUCCACCUGGGCUGGAAUGGUAAGAGCGGCAGAGGACAGCAUGUUCCCAUUUAUAAUAGCAGGCACGGAAAUUCAACCAGACUUUGCUGAUCUAAGAGAUGCUCUUGGAAGACCCCAUUACUUAAAUGAUCUAGAAAAUGUCCUCCCGAGUCAAGGUAUGUCUUAAGGAAGAAAAACGUACAAACAAAACCCAGAAAACUGUUUUAAGAGUCUUAUUCUGAUGAGACUCUAUUUGCAUUUGCCAAAUAGCUGUGAUUUUCUGGAAUGCAGGACAAGCUGAUAAAUUAGGCAGGAUGAAGACACUUUUUUUCUCAAGGGCAGGAACACAGAUAAGAGCACCUAAGUGUAACGCUUUGUUCUGGGACACAGCCCAACUCCAGUCCUUCUGUAGAAUAUCUGUAUUCAGUCAGAGGAUAUCAAAGAUGGAUAGAGCCUUGGGAAUUAUCUAGCACCUUAUCCAUUUUACAGCUGGGGAAACCAGAGCUGGGAGGGCAACUUCCAAAUUGGUAGUGAUCCAUUGUACACAAUUGAAGUCAUCAUUGGUAGACACAACUGAGGUCCUAGUAGAAAGAACAGCCUCACAAGACAGUGAUUUGAACUGGGGUCUUGUGUCUUCUUUGGCCAUGACUGGAGGUGGGAUUGGUGGAAGUGGGUGAUGGGUGAGGCUUUACUGACAGAUUUGAAAUUUUGCAUGUGUGUACGGAAAGGGGUUGACUCAACAGGCCUGGCGAUAUGGUUUGCAUCUGUGUUCCCACCCAAAUCUCAUGUCAAAUUGUAAUCUCUAGUGUUGGAGGUAGAGGAGCUGGUGGGAGGUGAUGGGAUAAAGGGGGCAGAGUUCUCAUGAAUGGUGUAACGCCAUCCCCCUUGCAACUGUAUAGUGAGUGAAUUCUCAUGAGAUUGGGUUGUUUAAAACUGUAUGGCAUCUUCUCUCUCUUCUCUCUUCCUCCUGUUCUGGCCAUGUAAGACACCUGCUCCUGGCCAGGCGUGGUGGCUCAAGCCUGUAAUCCCAGCACUUUGGGAGGCUAAGGCGGGUGGAUCACGAUGUCAGGAGCUCGAGACCAGCCUGGCCAACAUGGUGAAAACCCUGUCUCUACUAAAAAUACAAAAAUUAGCCAGACACGGUGGUGGGUGCCUGUAAUCCCAGCUACUCGGGAGGCUAAGGCAGGAGAAUCGCUUGAACCUGGGAAACAGAGUUUCCAGUGAGCUGAGAUUGUGCCAUUGCACUCCAGCCUGGUCAAUAAGAACAAAACUCUGUCGAAAAAAGAAAAAAGAAGACAGCUGCUCCUACUUUGCCUUCUAUCAUGAUUGUAAGUUUCCUGAGGCCUCCCCAAAAACCGGGCAGAAGUUGCCAUGCUUCCUGUACAGCCUGCAGAAACUUUAACAAUUAAACCUAUUCUAUUUAU